AGACAAAAAAACAACAGACUGCUACAUCUGUUACUCCAUUGAUCACCAGGAUUGAUUCAGCUGAUCUGGCUGGCUAGGUGGAUGUCCUCUCCUCCCUCAAUGCUCCGUGAGUGUCCUUCCCAAAGGUGCACUCUCGGUCAGAGAGGAUGACCCCCACAUCCAUAUAGGAGGACCCUUCCUCAGUCAAGGGUAUGAGAGUAGCUGCGCUCCCCUGGUAGAAUCUCCAGACAGGCUCUAGAGGUCCCUUUCAAUCCUAAUGCCCUUUGGCUUCAUAG
rnacentral:snRNA from 1 species